CCUCAGGGUCCCGACUCAAGUGUUCAGCACAAGUCAGUUGCUGCACCAAACUGAUGGACCUAAUAAAGCGAGCAUGAGCUGCUAUGUCAACACUUCCAAAUAUGGGCAUGGUUGCACCGGGGUGCCUUCGUCCUUGCAUCCUGCCACGCGGACCUUUCACAUCGAGCAAGUGCGGCGUGAAAAGGCCUUAAAGCGGCCAUGCCAGCUGGAAGCCCCAAUACACAUGCUGGCUGUCAAGUCAGAUGUUUUUUGUUUUUGUUUUUUAAAUCCCUGUCCUCCCUAUUCUGCCUUACUCUCUCUCUGUGAUGUGCACGCACUCAUGGCCAAUAACGAGGCAUGCUCAAGCAGUCACGCCAGCAGACUAUCCAAAGGGAAGAUGCAUUGCUAAUGGCACAUCGUAAUUGCGCCAGGUAACCACUGAAGUCAACAAACGAGUACUCGUGUACUUCUUUUUUUUUAAACUGUAGAUUAUUUCUAGUGAUUUAUUUCUAAUGUGCAAAGUGGUGGUUAUCUUGCAUAACUGGCAUACGGAGUGAUCACAUUGUUGAAUUAUAAUAUUAUUAGCUUGUUCCUUUCACAAUAUGUACUUUGAUGUGUUUUGACUCGGUUGUGAAGAACAUGUAAUAUUGUAAUGUAGUGAUAUUAACAAUUUCUACAGUAUAUGUAUGUCUUUCAUCUUUUAUCAAGGAGACCACAAUGUGUUUGAUGUGAGUGGGAGAGCUGCUGGAAAUGCUCGUUUCAUUUCACAAAAACA